rnacentral:lncRNA from 1 species
GGAGAUAUUUUGGCUUGGUGAAAACGAAAAAUGUAAGGCUUAUAAAUGGUAUUGUCUACUUGACACCAAAUACAACAAGAAAAUACAAAGGAAAUGAAUAAAUUUUUUCACAUAAAGAGUGUCUUUUGCUAAGAAGAAGAAGAAGAAGAAGAAGAAGAAGAAGAAGAAGAAGAAGAAGAAGAAGAAGAAGAAGAAGAAGAAGAAGAAGAAGAAGAAGAAGAAGAAGANNN